rnacentral:rRNA from 1 species
UAGGGAAUCUUCCGCAAUGGACGAAAGUCUGACGGAGCAACGCCGCGUGAGUGAUGAAGGUUUUCGGAUCGUAAAACUCUGUUGUUAGGGAAGAACAAGUAUGAGAGUAACUGCUCGUACCUUGACGGUACCUAACCAGAAAGCCACGGCUAACUACGUGCCAGCAGCCGCGGUAAUACGUAGGUGGCAAGCGUUGUCCGGAAUUAUUGGGCGUAAAGCGCGCGCAGGCGGUCCUUUAAGUCUGAUGUGAAAGCCCACGGCUCAACCGUGGAGGGUCAUUGGAAACUGGGGGACUUGAGUGCAGGAGAGAAGAGUGGAAUUCCACGUGUAACGGUGAAAUGCGUAGAGAUGUGGAGGAACACCAGUGGCGAAGGCGACUCUUUGGCCUGUAACUGACGCUGAGGCGCGAAAGCGUGGGGAGCAAUCAGG